UACAAUCAAAUGUUAGAUACUGCAGAAAUAAACAAAAUGUAUUGUUAACCUUCGCGUUACGUUAAGGAUGCGCAGUUUAUUUAUGAAGUGCAACAAGAACCUACACGCGGAUGACAUCAAAGUACUGCGAGAGCGACUCGAAAGAUCAUGGACAGCAUUCUGAUUUCAAAUCACUCUCGCGGUAUUUUAACGUCAUCUUUUUCUAGUUCCUGCAACUCAGCAUUACGUCGAACACCUUGUCAAAAAUGAUUGAGAUGGCCAAUCAAAUCAAAAAAGGCGAGUGCCACUGGCCAAUCACAUAACAGAAGACGAGCUUUCCUGUUAACGGAAGCCGAGCGGCGGCCAAUCAAAUUAACCAAUAGGCGGGGUUACCGUCGGAGUAGCAGUUACACCGUGUCAAUCAAUCAUAACGGACACAGAGAUUUCAAAGGCAGCAGGAUGAAAGAUAUGUGUCUGUGUUCAUCAAGACAUGAAGACUAUGGAGUGGGACAAGAGAAGGAUGAUGGGGUGUAUAUUCAAAUAGACACAUUAAGUCACAUUGUGAUUUCAGUGAAAGCUGAUAAAUACAGAGGGCUGGACAGUGGUUUCAUUCAUUAGGUGAGUAAGAACUGACCAUAGCCUAACAUUACUUUAGU